GUUCCCCCCUCGCAAUCGCAUGCGGAUUAGAAGUGUUUGUUUUGAUGUCGGUUUAGUGCAUUAAAACCAAUUCAAUUAAUUAACAAUAUUUGAGGAAUCAUUCGUAUUUAAUGCUGAAAUUAUUUCAUACCAUCGACCUCAACAUUGUGGGGUUCAAUGCAGUGCCCGUGUCAAUGUACAAUUCGAAGGUUUGUGAGAAAAAAACCCUGGAAGGCCAUCAACAAAGCCAAUGGGGAUGAGAUGAGCCAACAGACAUAAAGUUCUCUCUUCUGGAUAAUCCUAAGUCAUUCAGGACUAGGCAGAAUUGAUGAACAUCACCCAAACACCAGUGCAAACCAUAAUUUGGGAUGAGGAACCUGAUUAUUGUUGAAUCAGUAUCUCAUGUUCAGGAUGAGGAGAGUCCAUUGAAAGCACCCAGGAAAUGGGAAUCUGGAAGAUUGAGCCAGGGGACGUUUCAGACAGGCAAAGGAAAAUGAUUUAUCUUGGCCUGCACUUCUGCACGAAUGGGAACCCAAUUGGACGAGAAUCCUUUGAACUUGUGAUGAAUACUACAGAGGAUAUAAUUUCGUCAAGUGUCAGGAAAUCGCAUUUAAUGGAUAUAUGUGCAAAGGGAAGAAUUCCAUGAGAAUAUUUUUUUUUUGUCAACAUCUUUGGGAUUGAACAACGAUUCUCUGAGGUAUUCACUCCACAUAAUUAUUGAUGACAUGUAUGUCGAAAGGACACUAGGGAAUUUUUUAAUAAGAAUGUGAAAUUUGGAGAAGUUUGUUUUAGUGAGUACCUUGAAAACAACUAUUUUGGAGUCAAAUGACGUGAGCCUGAAGAGGACUUCAAACCAGGGAAGCAAGCCCCCUGAGAGUAGCAGACGAUGCCACUCAAUAAAAUCGAAUAUGUUGGAGUUCGUUGCAACCAGUAUCACCCUCUGGAACAGUUUUAUUUCAAGUAAUCGUUGGACAAGCUUAUAUUGGAAUCCUUCUGGAAUAAAUACUGGGUUAACACUCUGAGUUCAUCGAGUCACCCCACAAACGCUGGCAACACUACUGGGCACAUCUUCGCUUUAAAUUCUGCACUAAAGAAAGAUGAUUUUUCUUUAUAAUUUUCAAUAAAAGUAAUUUUGAAAAAUAUUUUUGAAUUCAAUCUCUGAUGUACGUAGAUAAAAUUUCAACUGUUAGACCAUUUUAUUCAGUAGUAAGAAUAAAGGGAAUUUUUUUUUCUACAUUUCAAAAUGGAGAUUGGGAAUUUGUCAUAGGAUGGCAGAACUCUAAACCUAAACAGGCGUAUGCCCGAGGACGAUCAGCUUUGCUGUUUCUCCCCGCCUUCAUGCGUCAAGACUGUUUGUUUUUGCAUUUGUUCAAAAAUGAAAUGUACCAAAUCAAUAAAUUAUAAACACGUGAGGAGUCAUUUUUGUUUCAUGAGACAAUGAUUCGAUUCCAUCAAUCUGAAAAUUGUGCAAUGGUUUGAUGUGAGUGUCAGUCGGAUUGUCACAUUUGGAUCUUCCGAGAAAAAAUGUCCUGGAAAUCGAUGAACACUGUCAAUGGAAAUCAGACGAUCCGAGUAAUGAAUUUCCCCCUAACGGGUGAGGAAUCAUUGAAAUCCGAAAUGAGGUCUGCACAACCGCUGACAUGACCCCAAUGAGUGAUAGUCGUCAUGGGUCUGAAGGAAAGAAUUAGUACACCUAGGAAUAGCACAACUGGGAACGUAAGAAACAAUAACUUUAUACGAUGAACGUCAUUAUUUCAUCAUCCAGAUGUUUGUCACGUUAGUCUCUAUAGAUGAACCUCAUCAAGUCGUCAUCUACAGACUGCAAGAAAGGUCCAUGUGGAACUUAUGUCUCAUCUUCCAUAUUCUGUCUUCGGAAUUGGUUCCGAUUGCACUCGAAAGCUUUGGAGGGUAAAAAUAGGGGAAGAGGAGCUAAU